rnacentral:rRNA from 1 species
GACGAACGCUGGCGGCGUGCCUAAUACAUGCAAGUAGAACGCACAGUUUAUACCGUAGCUUGCUACACCAUAGACUGUGAGUUGCGAACGGGUGAGUAACGCGUAGGUAACCUGCCUGGUAGCGGGGAAUAACUAUUGGAAACGAUAGCUAAUACCGCAUAAUAUUGAUUAUUGCAUGAUAAUUGAUUGAAAGAUGCUAUUGCAUCACUACCAGAUGGACCUGCGUUGUAUUAGCUAGUAGGUGAGGUAACGGCUCACCUAGGCGACGAUACAUAGCCGACCUGAGAGGGUGAUCGGCCACACUGGGACUGAGACACGGCCCAGACUCCUACGGGAGGCAGCAGUAGGGAAUCUUCGGCAAUGGACGAAAGUCUGACCGAGCAACGCCGCGUGAGUGAAGAAGGUUUUCGGAUCGUAAAGCUCUGUUGUAAGAGAAGAACGGGUGUGAGAGUGGAAAGUUCACACUGUGACGGUAUCUUACCAGAAAGGGACGGCUAACUACGUG